rnacentral:misc_RNA from 1 species
UUUCAGUGUCACUGUUUAGGUGAUACGUGAAUUGGGUUUGGAUUAGUUUUGAGUAAUUUGGGGUAUAGUGGGAUUGAUUGAUGAGGAAUAAGAGAAAAGGCUGUGAGAUUUUGUGCCCUAGACAGAGAGAUAUGUGGAAUUCGAUUCGUGAUUCGGGAUCUUCGAUGUCGAAUUUGAAAACUCGUUUUUCGUUAGAGGAAUGUUCUAGAAGGUUGAAGAAAAGGUGCAAGGAAGAUGAUGGGUUGUGUUGUGAGGUUACUGUUGGGUCUUGUGGAAGUAGAACUAGGCUUGCUGCAACUGCGCCGCCGAGUGGGAGUUCUUCGAUUAGUUUGUGUGGG